GCUCACAACUGCCGCUCCACCUGCUAUCGACGUCGGCCGACUAGUUGCUGUAACCGUUCAGAUUUGCUGUAACCGUUCAGAAUUGCUGUAACCAUUCAGAUUCGCGGUCUGUUCGCGACGGUCUCCAUCCGUGAAGCCCAGCCGCCACGUCUCAUUUCGCCGACCGCUGACCGACCCACACUUAGGAUUUUGCCGCGAGUUCGACAGUCGUGCGUUGAGGUGUUGGGAGUAACAUUAGGCUCCCUUACAUUCACAACCAGAUUGUGAAUUGUUGAAGGUUCAGUUCGCCAUUAUAUCAGAUUGUUUCGAGGACGUUAGUGAUUAAGGAGCUUUUCUAACUUUGAGGCAAAGGAAAUAAAGGUGGCAAACCGGCGAGGGGCAGGAAGGAAGCGUGAUUG